CACGCUGUAAACGAUGAUCACUGGAUGUGGGCCUUGCUUAGCAAGGUCUGUGUCGAAGCUAACGCGUUAAGUGAUCCGCCUGAGUNCGAGGAACCUUACCUGGGUUUGACAUGUAACUGCUACUGAUGGAGACAUUGGGUUUCGUAGCAAUACGGACGGUUACACAGGUGC
rnacentral:rRNA from 1 species